rnacentral:tRNA from 1 species
GGGCCGUUGGCGCAGUUGGUUAGCGCACUUGCAUGACACGCAAGGGGUCAGAGGUUCGAGUCCUCUACGGCCCA